rnacentral:tRNA from 1 species
AUCAGCAUGGCAUAGUGGUUUGAGUGUUGGACUAUGACUCUGAAGUCCAGAGUUCAAUUCCCAGCUCAGCCA